rnacentral:rRNA from 1 species
UGGGGAAUUUUGGGCAAUGGGCGCAAGCCUGACCCAGCAACGCCGCGUGAAGGACGAAAUCCCUCUGGGAUGUAAACUUCGAAAGUUAGGGAAGAAAUACCGGAGGCGAAUACCCUCCGGGGAUGACGGUACCUAACGUAAGCCCCGGCUAACUACGUGCCAGCAGCCGCGGUAAUACGUAGGGGGCAAGCGUUGUUCGGAAUUACUGGGCGUAAAGGGCGCGUAGGCGGCACAGCAAGUCGGAAGUGAAAGCCCGGGGCUCAACCCCGGAAUGUCUUUCGAAACUGCUGAGCUAGAGUGCAGAAGAGGCAACUGGAAUUCCCAGUGUAGCGGUGAAAUGCGUAGAUAUUGGGAAGAACACCUGAGGCGAAGGCGGGUUGCUGGGCUGACACUGACGCUGAGGCGCGAAAGCCAGGGGAGCGAACGG